CUUCAAUAAUCAGUCAUGAUCCGAGCUCCACGUGCGCCUGAGACGUGGACCGGGACCCGACGGGACGCUCCACGCGGACGUGUCCGCGGGGCGACCAGGUGAGCCGUAGGGUUCCCAGGACCCACUUCCGGUGUUUCUGUGUGUUUUAUUUCUCUGCUCGUGUUGGUGAAUAUUCUGCAGAUUUAAAUGAUGUAAGUCAGGACAUGCGUGACGUCAUUCACAGACUCGGCGCUACAUCAUAAAUAAUCCUUCCGGUCGCUUUAGUGUCGUUGUGUAAGUGUCGCGUUUAUGUCUCAGUGACCGUGCGUGGAUCUACAACAGCUGCUGUGCGGCUCCGCCUGUGGUCCACGCGUGGUCACCGCGUCCCACCCUGCUGUCUGCUGCUAACACCUGGGUGUAUUUGACACACUCGUGUUUUAGUUUCUUUUUCUCUGUCACAUAGAGCAGGGCAGAUAAAAUAUUUAUCACCAUAUACAUUUGAAAAUGUGCGAUAACGAUAUAACUGACGAUAUAAUUGACACUGGACAAAAUACUUUACAACUCCUCAACUUUAUUAGUGCAAAACCAUCAAUGUAUGUUCACUUAAUCAACCAGCUGUUUUUUUUAAUCUGCAUUAAAGUUAUAUAAACAUUUAACAGUGCAAAUUGCUCGCUAACAGUUUAACCAAAAGGCAUUUCCAGUGGAAACCGGCCGACAUAUCCUCAGCAUAACCAUGUACAACAUCCACAAACCUUAAAAAGAGGCUCUACACACACAAUACAGUAAUAGACCCUGUGCACGAGACAAUGCUAACUUCCUGGUUUGAGACCGGAUGUGGGGUUGUACAUUUCCGGUAGCUUUACUUUGCGGUCAAUCGCUACUGCGAAGAUAUAUCCUCCACAAUCAUGUCCAAAACUCUAAAACGGAAAGAUGGUGUUAAGUUACAAAGAGAAGGUGGGAACGCUCACCGCUGCUGUGUCAUAAAAAAUCUAAUGAUCAGUUUAAAGAGUUUAGAUCGAUCAGCUGUUUACUUCACUCAACACAAGCAGAACUGCAUCGCUGCAGCAGAAGACACAUCGUCCACAUGCAGAAGCACAUCUCUGUGUAGUGACUGGUCUCAUGAUCUAAACAGGCAAAUGUUCAGCAUUCAAACUACAGGUGAAGAACAGUCAAACCAGAUGUUUCCCCGUUAUGUCGAGAUCAGCUCGUCAAGUACACACCUACACCUCCUUCUUGAGCUCUCAGCGAAGGCGGUCGCACUUUCUCCUCUCCUCCUCACCCUUAUCUUCCCUGCUUCGCCUCUAUGUCCUUGUCUUGUCUUGUGUGAAUUUACUUUCCCUGGAACAGUCUCUCACUGUCGUUCUCUAAACCUAAAAGAGAAUUAUGGAUUUGAUCAAAAGACUGACAACACCACGGAACAGAAGUUUGAUACCAUCAUGGGGAGGCUCGCAGCUCUUCAACGGGAGCUCGAGAGACCAGCCUCGGAGUGCUAGAAUUCGAGCUGCUCACAAAGGAGAAAUCAACAAUAUUCAACAUUUGGACACCACGGCGCCAGCUGCAGGCCCAAGGCUGGAGCCCACCAAAACAACUCCCUGAUAACGACUGUGUGAUGACUAUUCUUCCCGCCCCAUGAAGGACACCUGGAUUGGCUGGAGGACUGUUUACUUAGCCUGAUAGGCCGAAGGACACUGUCUCAGCUAAACUAUGGACACGCACACACACACACUUACACUGAUAAGCACUCACUCAUCCCCCUCCCUUUCCAACGCCUUCGAUGCUUGUGCCCUACCGGGGAUGAUAGCAGUCAACUGGACCAGCACAGAUGCUGCAGGACCGGAUGCGCUGUCUACGCCGGCUCUCUCUUACCCUUUACCCGCCCCUGUUGCUUGUCUCGUGUUUCUAUGGUGUAUUGAUAGUCAUGUGCUUUUGUGCUGAGGUGUUUUUUCUGUUAUCAAACUGUUCUUCCACCAGGAGCUCAGUCUGAGUGGAGUUUUUUUUUCUCCUCCUCUCACCUCAUGUAGUGUAUUUUCGUUGUUUUUUUCCUAUCAGCCUACCUUUCUGACAUGUCUGCCCAAUGUGAUGUUUGUGUAAAGUUGGUCAGAAGGUUCCUUUGUGAGUGCGCAUGCGCCAUUAGCGUGCUGCCUGCUGUAACCCUAAUUUCCCUCGGGAUGAAUAAAGUAUUCUGAUUCUGAUUCUGAUACACAGCAUGUUAACAAACCGUGAAAAAAGCCACACAAAAAACGAAUGACUGCUGGUAACGGUUUCUAUACAUUAGUAUGUAGGAAGGGUAUGUUGUGACUUACCUUCAAAAUUACAGCGGUCCCUCGCUAUAACGCGCUUCACCUUUCACCUCGCUGUUUCAGAUUUUUUAGUGCAAGUUUGCUUAUUUUUACAGCACAUUGUGUCCUGCGUCCUGAUCGCUGCAGACGAUCUCCUCUGUCUCUCCUGUACAGCACAGAAUUGCUGCAUCGAUGCUAGCAGUGUGACUCUGCAGUGCAGUGCUGUAUGUCCACGAUGUCCACCAAACGUUUUGCAUCGUCAAAAAUAAAAUCGGCUCCUUGAUUUCACCUCUCGCUGGUUAUUUUUAGAACAUAACACCCGCGAUAAACGAGGGACAGCUGAGAAAUAUAACAUUUGAAUCCCUUUUCUCUUUUGCUCUGAGGCGCGGGGGAAAUAUCAACAAGUCGAUGAACAUCAUUUACAGAUAUGUUGGGUAAAUGCCCGAGACAUCUAUAGAAAUGUAAAUCGCCGCUUGAUUCAUUUGCUUAACUUGUUUUGGACCGUAAACCAGGCGCGAAUAGGACACCGGAAACACAGCUCCCCACAGGAGUUUCCACACCGGAAGUAGCAUAUGCUAACGUGCACAUAGUCUAUAUUAUGUUGAAGCACACUACGUAUCACUCCGCGAGGCUCCGCCUACGAUAGCCGUAACGCUCCAACAAUCCAUCAAGCGGUGCGGCUUCGUAGCUCAGCAAAGUCGUACUGAAACAUCUGACAGAUUUUCGAGCACCGUGCACAUAAAAUCGUUUCGAGGUCAGUAAACACAACCAGAGUUCAUACAUAAGGCACACGGGAUUAUAAGGGGCUCUGUCGACUUUUCAGAUUUUAAGUGCGCCGUAUUUUCCAAACAACACGGUAAUAACGGCGGCCCGCUAGCAUGCUCCACCAAAAAUAGUGCUUUGUUGUGUAUCUGACGGACGAAAGCUAAACCAGUUCCACACCAGUGAAGCUGCAGCAUUUUUACAAACCAGUUCUGGUUCAUCCGUUUCAUUCAACGAUCCACUUUCGUCCUCCUCAUUCUGCGUCGCCGCCAUGAUUUUUCCGCCGUGUGCGUAUGAAAACAAAGGCACUGCGCAUGCACGUUUUACCCAUAUUCUAUCGCCAUGUUUCAUUUUCCUAUCAUUGCCCAACAUGACACCGGUGCUACCGUGAGCGGUAUGAUAAGAUAAGAUAACUUUUAUUAGUCCCACACGUGGGAAAUUUGUUUUGUCACAGCAGGAAGUGGACAGUGCAAAAGUUAUGAAGCAAAAAUUAGAAUACAAUAAGAAUAAAUACAGUACAGAAUAGAAUAGAAUAAAUACUAUAUACAUUAGAAUAAAAUAGAAUAAAAUAUACAAUAAGAUAAAAAUAGAAUACAAAUGCUAUACAACUGAGUAAAAAUACGAUGCCAGAAAAGUAUUGCACAUGUGUGGAUGUGUUUGAUCAGUUAAAGUCUUUGUUGUGGAGUCUGACAGCAGUGGGGAGGAAAGACCUGCGAAAUCUCUCCGUCCCACACCGUGGGUGCCGCAGUCUCCCACUGAAGGAGCUGCUCAGUGCUGUCACAGUCUGCUGCAUGGGGUGGGAGAUGUUGUCCAUCAGGGAUGACAGCUUAGCCGCCGUUCUCCUGUCACUCACCACCUCCACUGGGUCCAGAGGGCCUCCUAGAACAGAGCUGGCCUAGCCCUACUGUCACAGUUCAGCGUUGUUUGUCCGUCGCUUCUCCCGCCCUGAUCUCUGUCCUUCAGUCCAGCGUCAGUAAUGGAAAUGAACCAACGGGCUGUCCGGCUCACAGCAGGUAAUCUGCCUGGUAUGCCAGAUUACCCGUCCGGUGCCGGGAGGCAGACGGCUUGAGUGGAGGCUGACGGAGAGACUGUAAUGGAGGCUCCGGCCAGCAGGGGGCAGCAGGGGGCAGCAGGUGGUUUUACCUGAAGUCAUUACAGCUGAAGUUCUGUGUCUGUGAAUGAUGCAUGCUGGGAAAACGGACCGAGAGCCGCUGUGACAUCGGCACAGGUGGCUCUGCUCUCUGAUUUGAUCCUGAGCUGUGAUGUCAUCGGUGGCGCCUCAGCCACAAAGUUUCCUGACGGCGUCCUGUGUGAGCGCGGUGUCGGGAUGGUCUGUGGCUGUGCCGCAGUAAAGAGGAGGAGUUCUGAUCACGCGCCUCUGCGGUCUGUGAGCUCUGAUCCAGACUCUCCCAGCUGUGUCGUUCCAGCCAGUUUGGGACAAUUUGUUUUUAAUUUGCUGUUUAAAUGUUUUUAAACAGCCAAAUGCAGCAAAUCUCACACUGAUCAAAACUCUGCAAACUAAUGUUCAGUAUAUUUAUUUAUGCAUGGGAAUGAAAAAACUGGAAAUAAAUUAUUAAAUAUAUGAAUGAUUAAAUUACAGUUCUAUUAAUUUGACACACUUGUUCAAAUUUAAAUAGACUGGCGAGGAAAUGAUUAAGACGUAAACCUGAGGGGGGCUAAAUAAGUAUAAACAUAAGUGUAUACUUCUGCCUACUGCUUUUCAAACAGCUGAAUGGAUGAUGUUAUGGACUGUUGGUGAAUGUAUAUGUUCGAAAUAAAAAUGAACUGAACAUUGAAUAAAUUACUGAUUUACAAUUUAAAUUCAUGACACAUUUAAAAGAUUAUUUAAUGAUGUGUUUGAUUCAUUUUGGGACUCCUGGCCCUCCAUAUUAAAUGGUUAUGGGAGAUGCCCCCAAGGGUGGUGGAGAAUGACCGAGCUAAGAUCCUGUGGGACUUCCAGAUACAGACGGACAAAAUGGUGGUGGCUAACCAACCGGACAUAGUGGUGGUAGACAAACAGAAGCAGACGGCCGUAGUGAUCGAUGUAGCGGUUCCCAAUGACAGCAAUAUCAGGAAGAAGGAACACGAGAAGCUGGAGAAAUACCAAGAGCUCAGAGAAGAGCUCGAGAGGAUGUGGAGAGUGAAGGUAACGGUGGUCCCCGUGGUAAUCGGAGCACUAGGUGCGGUGACUCCCAAGCUAGGCGAGUGGCUCCAGCAGAUCCCGGGAACAACAUCGGAGAUCUCUGUCCAGAAGAGCGCAGUCCUGGGAACAGCUAAGAUACUGCGCAGGACCUUCAAGCUCCCAGGCCUCUGGUAGAGGACCCGAGCUUGAAGGAUAAACCGCCCGCAGGGGCGUGCUGGGAGUAAUUAUGUAUAUCUGUAUCUCAUAUAUACAGUGUUGGUCAAGUUACUUGAAAAAAGUAAUUAGUUACUAAUUAUUAAUUACUUCUUCAAGAAUGUAAUCCUGUUACUUUCCUGAUUACUUACUUUCAAAAGUAAUACUUAGUUACUUUUAAAAAACAUGAUGCUCCACCUGAAUAUGUAGUAAAGCAACAGACCCUUCAGCCCAGUUCUAUUUAUUCUGCAUAAUCAUCAUAUAAAAGUCUCUUUUUAAAACUUGUUUUACUCUGUUAACUUGAUGCAUCCAGCAAAAACUAAAUUCUGACUGAAGAAGCGUGUUUAACACUG
ensembl:lncRNA